UGGGGACACAGGCUGCCAUUAGCUCUGGCAGAAACCAUCACACAGACUUGCCGCCUUUGAGAGCUACAAAGAUGAGCACAGAGGCAUCAUAGGAGUUCUCUCAAGAUGCAACCAGGUUAGGAUCUGGCGUUGUCGCUGCAGUUGCUAGGGUCACUGCUGUGGCUGGGGUUUGAUCCCUGGCCCAGGGAACUUCUGCAUGCUGAGGGUGCAGCCAAAAAAGGAAAAAAAAAGGCAUCAUAUUAGAGUCUUCUAAGGCUUAUUUUUCUCUCACAAUUAUACUUCUGAGAUUUUAUUAUUGUUGUUGCAUAGUUAUAAUUCAUUUAUUUUCACAACUUUAUCAUAGUCCAUAAAAAUCCAUCAUGUGAUUAUGCCACAAUUUUUUCUCCAAUCUCUAAUCCUGUCACUGGGCAUGUGAGUUACUUCUGUUUUUCGUUACCACAAACAAUUUGCCAGUAAUAUUCUUGCCCAUCUCCUUGGUAUUCAUAUAUAGCUCUAUAUCUGUUGAAUCUAAUAAUAAAAUAUCAGAACUUAUAUGUUGCAUCUUUUUUCACUUCAUUUUUUAGGAAUUCUUUUUUUACUAUAUUUUAGAAAAAUACCAUUCCCCCAACAAAUUAAAAAUCAAAACAAAACCAAAACUGAAAUACUGCUCUAGAGAGAAAAACUGCUGGGUCAAGGGCCGGCAGAUGUCCAGAAGUAAGCAAAAGUUCAAGGGUGUCCAAAUGUCAAACUGCUGUUUAAAACAGUUGUACCAAUUUGUGCUCCUGCCAGCAGUGGACAGGAGUUUGCUUACUGCUCCACAUCUUCAUCAACACUUAGUAUUAUGCAAUUUUUAAAGUUGUGCCAGUUUUGUGGGCAUGAGAUGUUUUCACUCCUUUGUUGCUAAUGAUGUUGAAAGCCUUUUCAUAUGUUUAUAGGGCAAUUGUGCUUCCUCGUCUGUGUUAUUCCUAUUUCUUUCCUUUGCCCCCCCCCCCUUUUCAUUUUCUUAUUGACUCAUACAGUUCUUUAUCUAUUCUGGAUAUUAGUCCUGUGUUGUUGAAGUGUGUUGCAGAAAUCACUCCUGAUUUGUGACUCAUUCGAAUUUCCUUGCAGUUGUCUUUAGAGAAGAGCAGAGAAGGUCCUACUUACAGAGUAGUUGGAUGUUCUCCGUUUUUCUUCAGGGCCCAGCUCCUCUUUGCUCCUUGCAGAUCAUGUUUUCCUGGUCAAAGCCUCUGCAUGGUCCCUGCCGAACUGAUAAGCACCAGAGCAGGGCAUGGACAGUGUUUUGCCUCGGCAGCCUCCUGCCUCCAGCCUCGUCUCUGUCCCGCUUUACACUCUGCAGUUUAUUCCUGAGCUUAUGUUCUCAGUCCUGAGUCUUUCCUGGAUGCCAAGACCUCCCUGCCUCUGAACCCAUCGCUCCUCAAAUUCCAGCUCUGGCACGACCUCCUCCCCUGCCCCGUUCCCUCUUCUUCUACUUUUUUUUUUUUUUUCAAACAGUCCAGAGGUCUUUUAGUUGCUUAUACCUAUCAAGCCAUGAAUUCACAGGGAAUGGGUUCAGCAGUGCAGACUCUUCACACACGGGGCUUCUCUGGAUGGAGCAGGUGGCACUUCAGUUGCACCCAAGUAACUCUCUUUUUUUUUAUUUUUUUGAAUUUUUUUUAAUUUUCCCACUGUACAGCAAGGGGGUCAGGUUAUCCUUACAUGUAUACAUUGCAAUUACAGUUUUUCCCCCACCCUUUCUUCUGUUGCAACAUGAGUAUCUAGACAUAGUUCUCAAUGCUAUUCAGCAGGAUCUCCUUGUAAAUCUAUUCUAGGUUGUGUCUGAUAAGCCCAAGCUCCCGAUCCCUCCCACUCCCUCCCCCUCCCAUCAGGCAACCACAAGUCUCUUCUCCAAGUCCAUGAUUUUCUUUUCUGAGGAGAUGUUCAUUUGUGCUGGAUAUUAGAUUCCAGUUAUAAGUGAUAUCAUAUGGUAUUUGCCUUUGUCUUUCUGGCUCAUUUCACUCAGUAUGAGAUUCUCUAGUUCCAUCCAUGUUGCUGCAAAUGGCAUUAUGUCAUUCUUUUUUAUGGCUGAGUAGUAUUCCAUUGUGUAUAUAUACCACAUCUUCCGAAUCCAAUCAUCUGUCGAUGGACAUUUGGAUUGUUUCCAUGUCCUGGCUAUUGUGAAUAGUGCUGCAAUGAACAUGCGGGUGCACGUGUCUCUUUUAAGUAGAGCUUUGUCCGGAUAGAUGCCCAAGAGUGGGAUUGCAGGGACAUAUGGAAGUUAUAUGUAUAGAUUUCUAAGGUAUCUCCAAACUGUUCUCCAUAGUGGCUGUACCAGUUUACAUUCCCACCAGCAGUGCCGGAGGGUUCCCUUUUCUCCACAGCCCCUCCAGCACCAAGUAACUCUCUUUUGCUUCCUUCUUUUCCUGAUCACUUUCUUCACGUUUCAGGAAGCUGUCUCGGCUGGUGGAGUGCUUCCUAUGCUCAGUACGUACCUUGAUUCUCUUGGCAAGAACCUUGCCCUUAUCUUGUUUGUUGACAAUGCCAGCUGCGUGCCGGGUAGCCUCUUUCAUUUUGCAUGGGAACCUCGGUGGGUGUUCCCUUUAGAAUGGUGCCCCUUCCCGAGCCGUCUACAACAUCAGUUUUCUGGUGGGUUUGAGGGUCUGUGGCCAAAGGAACAGCUCCCCGCUUUCUAAAAGGCCUAGAGAACAUGUGGCUGGCGCCUCUCCUGCCUUCCUUUGUGUUGGUCACUUUGGUGAAUUACUGGAAGACGGUGGCUCUGGAGGAAAGGGACAACCUCCUCUUCUUAGAAGCGUUUCUUCCUCUGAUCAGUGGGCCUCAAGCCUGGCUAAGCAUCAGAGGACUGCCAGUACCCAGGUUUUUGACUCCUAAAGUGGGAUGACCUCUACUGUGAAUAAGUGUAAUUUAUUAAAUAGAUACGCUAUUUUAAAACAGGGGAUUCCUUAACAAUGGGAUGUUUGGGAGGGGAAGAAAGGUUAGGAAACACUGCUUGCUUGCCAGUGAUGUCUACCGUAUCCCUGACACCAUCCUGCUUCCACGUGAACUUUUCCAGGGACAGGAAGCUCACCACCUCAGUGGGCUGCUCCAGCCGUUAGAAACUACUUUCUUGUUUUCUUCCUUCCUUCCUUACUUCUUUUUGGCUGCACCCAUGGCAUGCGGAAGUUCCUGGGCCAGGGAUCCAACCCGCACCACAGCAGUGACCCGGGCCUCUGCAGUGACAAAGCCAGAUCCUUAACUCAUUGUGCCACAAGGAGACUGCUUUCUUCUGCUGUGUCUCUGCCUUGUCUUUUAUACUUACUGAUCGUCACUCUGCCCUCCAGAGAAACACUCUGUCUUUUCUGUUUGGCACACCCCCGCCCCCCAACAUCUAUCCGCAUCUCCUUUCUCCAAGAGAAAUACAUCACCUUCAGUGAUUCCUGGGGAGAGAUGGUUUCCAGGUCCCUCUGCCCCUGCUCAGCCUCUCGUGAAGGGACUGUAGUUUUCCCAUAUUCCUGGUAAACUGCAUGUGUUUGAGGAAGGCCCCAGGGCUGGUCUAACCCCAGGCCUGCUGCAGAGGGGUCCUGAUCCAGUUAAUGUGAGCCUAUUGGUGCAGCCCGAGGGUUGUGGCUGUUCUGGCAGCUUCAUCGACCCAAUGGCUCUCAGAGUGAACCUGAGAGUUGAAGAAAACCCUUAGAUCUUUUUCAUGUGAAAAAUCACAUUUGUUUAUGUCCAUCUGACUUCCCCCUUGCCUAAAUACAGGAUAUCUGUAAAAUUCAAUCUUACUGCUUUUCACUCAGCAGUCAUAUCUUUUGAGACUUUUUUUUUUUUAACUUUCACGUCUCCUUUUAGUUCUUCCCUGUGGUUUUGUGUCAAGCACAAAUUUAGUAAGCAAGGUACUGCUUUUUUUUUGGCUUUUAAGGGCCAGGCCCUCGGCAUGUGGAGGUUCCCAGGCUAGGAGUCUAAUCAGAGCUGCAGCUGCCAGCCUACACCACAGCCACUGCAACACUGGAUUCUUAACCCACUGAGUGAGGCCAGGGAUCGAACCCGCAUCCUCCUGGAUCCUAGUAGGGUUCAUUAACCGCUGAGCCACAAAGGGAACUCCUUUUUUUUUUUUUUAAAUACUGAGGAGUGCCCCGUGGCAACUGAGCAUCCUUAGACCCUUCUGUGUUGUGCUAGGCCUUGGACAUCAGGCCCCGACCCCAGGAAGCAGGGGAAGGGGAAGCGCACUGCGUCACUCCAGGCCGGGCUGAGGCUGCUCCGCCACGGCUGUGGAUAGUGACGCUCUAUCUCUGUCUCGUGGGCCAGGAACAUCUGAGUAAUCUUUGACUCACAUCUGUCCUGUGUCCUCUUGCCCAAUCUUGCCUGGUCUUCAUUAAAAAUGUCUCUCUCCUUUUCUUUCAUUUGCUGGUUCCUCAGCACAUCUCUCCUGGGUCCACUGUGCAGGCACUGUGCUUGUGAUGGAGAUGGUCUCACCAACACAAACUCCCUGUAUUUUUUAAAAAUUUUUUUUAUUUUGUCUUUUUAGGGCUGCACCCAUGGCAUAUGGAGAUUCCCAGGCGAGGGGUCUAAUUGGAGCUGUAGCUGCCGGCCUAUGCCAGGGCCACAGCAACACGGGAUCCGAGCCGCAUCUGCGACCUACACCACACCUCAUGGCAAUGCUGGAUCCUCAACCCACUGAGCAAGGCCAGGGAGCAAACCUGCAACCUCAUGGUUCCUGGUCGUAUUCGUUUCCACUGUGCCAUGAUGGGAACUCCUUUUUUUGGUCGCACCCAGGGCAUAUAGAAGUUCCUGGGCCAGGGACUGAAUCCAAGCCAGGUCCUUAACCCAGAGCACCAGGCGGGGGAUCAAACCCUCACCUUAGCAGCGACCCAAGCUGCUGCAGAGACAAUGCUGGAUUGUCUCCCCUGCACCACAGCAGAAACGCCUCCCUGGAUGUUUAACAAGCAAUUCCCAAAGAGGCCACUGCACCCUGGUUGGGAGUGUCACUCAGGCUGAGCCCUGAAAGGAGAGGUAGGACUUGAUCAGGCCAAUUGUUGGAUCACAUUUCAAGCAGAUGAAACAGAAAGCAGUUUCCACUGGGCAGCACAAGGAUGGGAGCGGAGGCUGAAGAGCCGCAGCUGCCGAGUCAAGUCAGGCAGGCGGACUUCCGCUUAAGGAAGGUCUCGAGUUGGGCAGUGCCAAGACCUCAGCUCUACUCCAGAGCCAUCGGUGAAGCUUGAUCAGACAUCCACCUGAGAACCUCCCAGGAGGUGUGGAGUCCCUUCCCACUCCUGGGCCCAGUGGAGUCCCAGCUUCGACCACUGUCAGGUGCAUGAGGGAGUGACAGCAGCUCUCUGAUGGUCAGCUGGCAAGAGAGGCACUGGGGUUUCUGGGAGAAACCUCCUUGCAGAGGAAGCUGGAUGGGGCCUGGCUCAGUGGUGGGCCCACCCAGACCCAGUCAUCUUGCAGGUGCCCCCAGCACUCGCACAGCAGGUCUUCAGUAUUUGCUGACUGACUCAAUGACUGACAGAUUCCAGGAGCAAAGUGGGAAGGUGGGAUGGAGGAUGCGACUGGGACACAAACCUCCUCAUGGUUUCCUUCCAGGUAACACCAAAGCAAUGGAUUACUGUCUCCCUAGCACCUGCGACAACGUCUGCCACAGACACAACCAACGUUGGGGUCAACCCAGGACUCACAGCCUGAGACGUCCGGCAGCCCAAUUCUCUUGCAUUCUGGAGGUCCCAGGUCUUGGAACCCUAUCAAGGCAGACGUGAUCCACCAGGUGCUAGAGGAUCUGGGGUCCUUUUCCAAGGGACAUUCUGCACAUUGUCUGGGUUCCUCUUGCUCUUUAUAAACACUUUUGGCCAAAGAACAGGGCGAGCUCAAAGCUGGUUUCCCAGGGCCGUCACUAGCACACUUAAUCCAAGGUAUUGCCCUACAUCUCGACCCCUGACCCCAGCUACUGGACGUGAUAGUCCACGCAGGCCUUUCUGAAGAGGGGCUGUUUGUGUUGAGAUUUGAAGGAAUGAGUCAAGUGAUGAUGGAGAGAACAUUCCAGAGGAGAAUGGGAGUGAACUUGGUGAGUUUGAGGAACAGAAAGGCUAGUGCCGUGAGUGUGGAAAAAGAAGGUUUACAUGGAAAAGCUUGAGCCACAACUCUGGUCCCCAAGAAGGGGUCUAAAAGGCUGUACUCCUGGUCGAUCACCGCCUCCAGCUGUAACGUGAUGCUUUUCUGGUCUCCAAGGCAGCAGGGAUGGGGAAGGAAGAGAAUGGGUGUCUGCCAUUGUGGCUGGGGGGUUCUGGCAGCAGGGGGCCAGGCCAUGGGGCCCUGGUGCUUGACUGCAGUUUGGUGGGUUCACUACUCUUAAAAAUGGCAGGAUGGAGCCAUGAGUCCUUAGAGCUAAGUCCCAUGUGAACAGUCCCUGUGGAGGCACCACCUUAGCUUAGACAGCCACCUCCAUCCCCUUCUGAGAGCCCUGCUAAGGGGAAAGUGCUGCAGCCCAGGG
rnacentral:lncRNA from 1 species